rnacentral:tRNA from 1 species
GGAUUGCGGUUCAGUGGUAGAGCACUCGCCUGGCAUGUGUGAGGCCUUGGGUUCAAUCCUCAGCACCA